GUACUUACCUGGAUGGAGUCAAUGGGUGAUCAGAAAGGCUCAUGGUUUAGGUUUGUGACUUCCAUUGCACUUAGGAGGGGUGCUCACCUAAGGUCUACUCAAGUGGUGGAGCCUACAUCAUAAUUUAUAAUAGUGGAGACUUGUGUUCGCGCGACCCUUUU
rfam:Cicer arietinum chromosome Ca7, whole genome shotgun sequence.